AAAUAAUUUUAUUAAUGUAUUCGAUUUAACAGGAUGAGAAGAAGGAAUCGCAAAACUAGGAGAUACGGAGUUUUGGACACUAACAUAGAAAACAUGGAGUUGACACCUCUAGAACAAGAUGAUGAGGAUGAUGACAACACAUUGUUUGAUGCCAAUCAUCCUAGAAGGUGAGACUGUGCCUUUCAUGAGAAGACUUCAUAUUUCUACUGAGAACAGAUUUCUAUGUCUAAGGAAUAAGAAGCCACUCAAUCGAGGGGAGGGGAAUUUAAGUUGCACACAUUAUGACAACCUUUAAUUUGUUGUUGCUGCAAUAAAUAUUGUAUCAUUUUGUUAUAUCUUUGUAUAUUUGGAACAGCUCUGUUAUUGGACUCCAUGCUGUUAGGGACAGCCUGGACUGGACUGGCUUUUCCAUUGGAGAUUAUUUUAAGAUGCUGUUUUCUGAAGAGCUUGUCCUUCCUCCAACCACAUUAGUGUAACUUGUUUUCUUUUAAGUACUGAUCAGUUGUUAAUUAUUUUUUGUCAGUGUCAUAAUUUAAAGAACUAUAAGCCACAACUAACUGGUAUGAAAUAAUAAUUCAAAUUCUACUUUACUAAAAAUUUCCCAUUUUUGUGGGGGAAAAAGCCAAAUUUGUUACGUUGUUUUUGAGUUUUUAAAUAGUAGAAAUUGUCUGUGCUAUUGUAUGCAAAAGAAUAAAUGUAAUUUAAAAUUAUUUAAGUGGUACAGACAAUCUGUUUACAAAAUAAACCCCCCUUGUUAUAUAUUA